rnacentral:rRNA from 1 species
GGGCGUCGAUGGGGCGAAGCCUGACGCAGCACGCCGCGUGAGGGACGAAGGCUUUCUGAGUUGUAAACCUCUUUCGACAGGAACGAUUGUGACGGUGCCUGUAGAAGAAGCACCGGCCAACUAUGUGCCAGCAGCCGCGGUGAUACAUAGGGUGCGAGCGUUAUUCGGAUUUAUUGGGCGUAAAGAGCUCGUAGGCGGUUCGAUAAGUCGGGUGUUAAACCCCCAGGCUCAACCUGGGGCCGCCACCCGAAACUGUCGUGACUAGAGUUUGGUAGGGGAUCACGGAAUUCCUGGUGUAGCGGUGGAAUGCGCAGAUAUCAGGAGGAACACCAGUAGCGAAGGCGGUGAUCUGGGCCAAUACUGACGCUGAGGAGCGAAAGCGUGGGGAGCGAACAGGAUUAGAUACCCUGGUAGUCCACGCCGUAAACGGUGGGCACUAGGUGUGGGGACUUUUCAACGGUUUCCGCGCCGCAGCUAACGCAUUAAGUGCCCCGCCUGGGGAGUACGGCCGCAAGGC